AGGUCAAGUGAAGAAGGGCGCACGGUGAAUGCCUUGGCACUGGAAGCCGAUGAAGGACGCGACUAACCGCGAAAGUCUUCGGGGAGCCGUAAGUAGGCUUUGAUCCGGAGGUCUCCGAAUGGGGGAACCCAGCAUGUGCAGACAUGCUAUCCUUAAGUGAAUACAUAGCUUAAGGAGGGAACACGCAGUGAACUGAAACAUCUAAGUAGCUGCAGGAAGAGAAAGAAAUAUCGAUUUCCC
rnacentral:rRNA from 1 species